rnacentral:lncRNA from 1 species
CAGGUAUUUCUCACCUCUGAGAAGCUUUCCAGAAGGGCUAACUGUUCUAACAUGAAGUCCUAAAAUCUUCACUCAACCCAAGGUUGGGAAAAUAAUCAUGGUGAUAAAAACCACCAGUGAAAUGCCCACUGUGGCCCAGAAUUCAACCCUCCAUAAAUUGAUUGACAACACUUGAACAAAUAGAGCACAGAUUGACCAACAUUUUUAUAAGGAACCAGAGAGGAAAUACUUUUGGCUUUCCAGGCCAUACUAUUUCUGCCACAAGUUUUCAACUCAACUGUUGUAGAGAACAGAUAUAGGUAAGGUGUAACGAAUAGGUAUAGCUAUGAUAUAAUGAAAUUUUACUUACAGUGGGGUGAGAUGGAUUUGUCUCAUUGAUUUGCUGACCUCUGAAAUAGGAAAGGUGGACUUAAGGUUUUUUACUACCCUAUUAAGAAUGCAAC